UGUGUAGAUUUUGUGAAAAAAGUGGCAUGCAUGUCAUUUUUGUUUUUUUUGUUUGUUUUUGUUUUUUUUUUUUUAAGAGAUAGGUAGCAUGCAAUCUGCUUUGUUUAUUUCAUUUAGAAAUAAACUUAGCUAGAAAUGUGAAUCAACUAAGAUUCGAAUUUGAGAGCUCGGGUACCAACCAUCAAGCCUUUUGCCACUUGAUCUAGGACGGCCGGUGCAUGUCAUUUUUGUUGAUA
rnacentral:lncRNA from 1 species